UGGAGGCUGGAGAUUGGCAGCCCCUUGCAGGCUCGCUGUGGUCCUGUGCUGAGCACCGGGCUGAUCUGGUCCCUCUGUUUGUCCGGCGUGGGCCUCGCGGGACCACAAGCCCCUGCCCACAGGGGUGUUUCCCUUUCUGCUCGGCAUCCUCCUCUCCUGGCCCAGCGCCUGGCACGGUUCAGGACGGACGAGAUGGCUGAGAGCAGCCCGCGGGCCCACAGUAGUCCGAGCUCAGAAGCAUCUGUCCCAGACCUGAGAGUUAUUCCUUUGAAAUGUAUUUGCCAGGAAGGACAGGGCGUCUGUCUGCCUACUCCGUGGGAGGACAGACUACUGACACAUGGAGCAGACACAGCUGGCCUAAUCACAUCUGCACUGACCGGCUCUGUGACCGUCCACUACUGAGCCCCUUCUCCCUCCCUCAUUCUCCCUUCCCCAAAGCCCUGUCAAACCGAUGGCAUGCAGCCCUUUCCCCUGCUGUCAGUAGUUACCGAAUAAAAUCUUCCCGCCGCUUUA